GGUGGCUCAGUGGUAGAGCACUUGCCUUGCGUGCCAGAGGCCCUGGGUUUGAUUCCUCAGCACCA
rfam:Dipodomys ordii contig_57806, whole genome shotgun sequence.